UGCUGUGUCGCGGCUGUCGCGAUGGGGCUGUCGGCGGCGCGGGGCUGGGCGCUGUCCCCGGGCCCGGCGGAGCGCAGCCGGCCCUACGCGGUGCUGCAGCACCAGAACCUGGUGCUGCUGGGCAGCAUCCUCAGCGCCCUCCUGCUCACCAUCAUCCUCAUGGCCAUCUGCGUGUACCGGCCCGUGCGGCGGCGGUAGCGGAGCGGGACCUGCCGGGGCAUCGAGGGAAUGCUGCAUCCCACCUGUUCUCCCGUCUGGUACCCGCCGCCCCACCCCUGCUCUGGUCCCGUCCGGUUCUCCCAUGUGGUACCCGCUGUCCCACCGCCGCCGGCGAUGCCCUGACCAUGCGGGGGUGGCUUUUCGCCCGUCUUGUCCCGCGCUGCAUCGUGUGGCUCCAUCGUGACGUUGCUUUCAGCGAGGGCCUGUCCAGGGGCUGGAAGUCACACCCCAGCCCUCAGCGAACGGACUCCUGGAGCUCCCGGCAGCGUGUUCGCAGCAAACCCGGCUGGCUGUGAGGAGGGUCUGGAGCAACGCCCCUUACUCCCAAAUUGCAGCGUUUGGGCGAGGAUGAUCCUGCAGGAUGUGCUCGGGAGCAUCCCCGGUGCAUGUGGAUCAGCACAAGAACGUCGUCCGAGGAGCAGGUCCACGCGCUCGGUCACACCACAGCCACGUUUGUUUUCCCAUUAUUUCAGUUCCUUAUUUGAACGCUGAGUCUCGGGGGUUGGACAGGGCUUGGAGCAACCUGGUCGAGUGGGAGGUGUCCCUGUCCGUGGCAGGGGGUUGGAACAGGAUGAGCUUUCUGGUCCCUUCCAACCCAAACCGAUCAAAAAUGGUCCAAAGGCAAAGGCUCAGUGACCCACCAGAGUGGUGGGGGGGUGGAGGGGGUCUGGCAUGUUCUUGCCUCUGAGCAGAAACACCCGAUCCUGGUGUAGCUGUUCAGGGCUAGGCUUGUCAUUCCCAACGUUAUUUGCUUUAACUCUUAGCUAAAUAGCCCCGAACAGCCUCAUACCAAACCAGCCCUGCUGAACCUGUUUGGAACUGGGGUGCAGGUGAGGGUUUCCAGCAUGUGCUGGUCACUGUCCUCCUGGAAACAGGAGCCUUCAAAGGUCUGCAAGCCAGGCAGAUGCUGGGACCUGCCAGGCUCAGGCUCUCUGAAAGUGUUUGAGCUCCAGCCAGACCCAUUUAUGCAUUUUCAGUAACAAAUCCAAGUGUUUACACUGAAUCCCACUCAUACGAAUGCUGCUAUUUUGUUUUGCACUGCUACGAGUAGUAACUGGAUUUUACUAAUUAUUACUUUAGUAUUUAACAUAGAGGUGGUUUUGUUAGUAAUUUAUUUAGUGUCUUAAAAUGUAACUUCCAAAACAUUUGUGUUGAGCUUUUCUCUAACCCCUUGUGCUGCAUCUGAGGUGUUUUCCCUUCAAUUUGAAGGACACCAACCACUGGCAUUGAACGGGGGGAAUUUCUUCGCUGCUGCUCAGUUGGUGAAAUGACAGUAGGAAGCUCCCUUAGAACAGAAUGAGUUCUUAAUCCAAAUGAAACAAGAGUGGGGAAGCAAGGCAGCACUGUUCUAUUGCUUUCUGCUCCUUUUUUUGCUCACUGAUUCUUGUAUCCUUGAUUUUUCUCGGUCCUUCAUCUGCUGUAAAGCCUGGCCUGCAGUCUGUGCUGCUCACGGGGGUGGAUGGUGAAGCUCCCAGCCACACUCCGUGUUCCCUGGAGCAGCAUUCCUGUUUGCUUUCAUUCUUCACUCCCUCCCAUGCCUCUUUGUACAAAUAAAGAGCUCAGUAAACAAUCUA